UCUCUAAUCCGCUUUUGCUUUCGCCCCCAUAAAAAAAAAAUGCCUUUCGCUUUCUACUUUCUACUUUUUCAUCCCUUUGCUGAAGUCUCUGUAAAAAAAAUUCAAUCUGAAAAAAAACUUACAAUCUUACUUUAUUGCUUUCAGUCACUGUGCUCAAUGCUCAUUGGUUUUCUUUUAUGCUCAUUUCCUUUCUCUCACGUUCAUCCUCUUUUUUCCUUACACUCUUUUUACAUUAAUCAAAAAGAAUCGAAACUAUAUUCUAACUGUGCCUGGUUAUAUGGUUCGAACUUCGGUCACACGUGUGUGCGAGUGUCCUUGUAAACAACAUGAAUAGGUUGGGUUAGGUAAAGAGUGAUUGAUGAUGAAACAAAGGACUUUGGGAAGGAGGAAACGUCGUUGUCCACUAGAGAUAUGAAAGUGCAAUAGUGACUAAAUCUUGGUUUGUGACCAUAAACAACAAAAAGCAAACCCACGAUUUUUUUUCUAAAGUAAAAUACAAAUGAGAGACGCUCCCUCGAGAAACUAAGUUCACUCACUCUCUCACGCCCUACGAGUCGGGCCAUGCCACCAUUGAUUCUUCUCUGUUCUCUCUUUUCUUUUAUU